UGCAGUCGAGCGGUAGAGAGUAGCUUGCUACUCUUGAGAGCGGCGGACGGGUGAGUAAUGCCUAGGAAUCUGCCUAGUGGUGGGGGAUAACGUUCGGAAACGGACGCUAAUACCGCAUACGUCCUACGGGAGAAAGCGGGGGACCUUCGGGCCUCGCGCCAUUAGAUGAGCCUAGGUCGGAUUAGCUAGUUGGUGAGGUAACGGCUCACCAAGGCGACGAUCCGUAACUGGUCUGAGAGGAUGAUCAGUCACACUGGAACUGAGACACGGUCCAGACUCCUACGGGAGGCAGCAGUGGGGAAUAUUGGACAAUGGGCGAAAGCCUGAUCCAGCCAUGCCGCGUGUGUGAAGAAGGUCUUCGGAUUGUAAAGCACUUUAAGUUGGGAGGAAGGGUAGUAACUUAAUACGUUGCUACUUUGACGUUACCGACAGAAUAAGCACCGGCUAACUUCGUGCCAGCAGCCGCGGUAAUACGAAGGGUGCAAGCGUUAAUCGGAAUUACUGGGCGUAAAGCGCGCGUAGGUGGUUCAUUAAGUUGGAUGUGAAAGCCCCGGGCUCAACCUGGGAACUGCAUC
rnacentral:rRNA from 1 species